AUAGUUAGGUUAAAACAUUAAUUUUCACCAAUUGUUUCAGUUGGAGUCUUGCAUCUUCAAAAUUAAAUAUGCUAGACUUGUAACGUUUCCACUAUUUUUCUAUUUUGACAUGUGUGUUUUUCUCUUCUAAUUUGAGUAACUUAUUUGUUAUUCUUUAUGUUUGUUUUUCUUUUUGUUACUAAAGAUAAUAAUAGUUAAAAAAGAAGAUAAUAAUAGUUCAAACAAACUAGUGAUUUUAAUUUAUUAAAAUAUCCACUAUUAAUCUAAUAUUCAUCUGAAUUUUCUGAUUUGAUUUUUUCGCCUAAUUCACUCUUUUAUUUAUAACUAAACUACUAUAUCAUUUUAUAUUUAAACAAAAAAUAUUAAAUAUAUUUUGGACCAAAAUAUUUUAAAAAAUUAAAUAUAUGUUAGCACAUAAAUUUGCUUUAGGCCACGAAAUCUACUGGGACGGCACUGAUGUGCAUCAUACCUC
rnacentral:lncRNA from 1 species